AGAUGCCCAGCCCCGGGGUGUCUGGAGCACGGUGUGCCCCGCACGGCAGCCCCGCGCUUCGCUGUAUUCCCAGCCGCAGCGGCCGCGUCUCGGGCUCCCAUCGAGCCCGCAUGAGCGAUCCGUUUUACCGAUGAAGAAGGGCGACCAUUGAUUUUUCCAGGGAAAUCUAGUAUCUGUUCUUUUAAUAUGUGUCCGUAAGCGACACCAGAUGUUUCCAUUCCGCGUUCUGCUAUCCACUGCUAAAAAAGUUGGCGGUUUUAUUGUGGCAGAAGCGUUGCUUUAAAGAGAAAUAUUUGCCUUAACAACUGCAGCGUGGUAUUAAGGCGUUUUGAAAAGCCCUUAAAUCAAAAGUCGGCAAAACAGGGGAGUUGCUAUCAGAUUGCAGUGUCUUUUGUUUUUUUCACAACGAUCUGCAUGAACUGGAACAGAAUAUGUAGGUGAAGUCUUCACUGUCAUACAGAAAUAAGUUUUGUUUAUUUCAGAAUUCAGGCUUCUACUGAUGAAUGUAUCGCCAGAUAUGAGUUGGGCAUGAUGGCUUCUCUACAGAGAGGGCGAUGGAUAUGUGAUUAGAAGUAAAUCAUUGCUCUCCAACUAUAGACCAAAAAAUGUAAUUUGCUGUUCAAAAUAUUACAUGAGGGACAACUCGAAAACAGAUUUUUUUUUAUGUUCAAUAUUUGCCUUGUGUAGAGUUUAGCACAAUUUAAAUGCCUCAACUGGCAGUGAAAUACUCAGAUGCCUACUAGUGGUGAGCAAUUUUUUAAGUCAGUGAAACUCUUCACUGUAUUUGUCAUUAAUGUACAUGCAUAACAGAAUUGAGGGUCACAUCAUGAACACCUUGGACUCUAUAUGCCCAUGCUAAUUCAAAAGGUGUUUCUGGUGUGGAGAAACUUGUUUUCAAUAGUCAGUGUUUUGGAAAGCAUAAUAUUUUCAGUGGUGGAUUGGAAGUGCUAGGUUGGACUCAAUGACUUUAGAGGUCUUUACAACCUAAAUGUUUCUAUGAUUCUGUAAUUCUCUAUUUAAAAAUCUGAAUUAUAAGAAGUAUUUUUGCAAUAGUUAGUAUCAGAGCAACUUCUUAGGCUUCCUUUUCUUUAGGUCAUGAAGUGUUUUCAGUUACCAGAGGUGUUCCUGGGAAUAGUCAGGAACAUUCUUAUUUAUCUUGGUCUUCACUACAGUGGAUUAGAUGACUGUUCUUACUUUUUUAACUCAUUUAAUGAAAAAUAGUGUAUUGAACACAAUGUGCAAGUUUUCUUAGAUGAGAAACACAAUAUCCAUGUUUGAGUCUAGCUCUGCCAGAUUUUGCAAUUCAGGCUCAGUGGAAUGAUCUAUUUGAUUAUUGUUUAAUGAACAAUGCAGAGCAUUAAACAAACAUCAUAGGAUUGUAAGAAUGCUGGAGUCUUUUUCCCAUGCUUUUUAAUCCCUCUACUUUACCUGCUUGAGUUUGCAUGUUCCAAAAAAAUAAAAUCUUUUGAAGCUUUCUAGAAAAACGGUAUUUUUAUGAUCUCGUCCAAAUGGCUGCUUUUCAUCCUGAUUUUUUUCCUUCUGUGUUGACAAGCCUUUCAUCUUGAUCACUGACAUUUUUUCAUCUUUUGUAUUUGUACCCUGAUCUUCAGAUCUACUCAACAAGUAGCUGCCACUGUCAUAUGCCCUUGUUGUCCCACUGCACUGCAAAGGCUGCCUUGAGUCCCAGCAGCACGUUGUUUUUAUUCUGGGUGUGUCUGAUCUCAUGGCUUGACAGUUUUAAGGCACCUUUCACAGAGGUAUUGCAGCGUGCACUGCUAGUCUCUUAACCUGCAUCUUAAGCACAACUGCUCAACUCUUUUAUUUAUUUUAUUAAUCUUAUAAUAUUUCAUGCAUGCUGCAAUUAUGUAAUCUGAUUUUUUUUUCUCCAUGUGAGAGCUUUGUGUUUCUAAAGCUACCUGCAGCACCCAUACAGGUACAUACUACGUGGUUUGCUGCUCUGAGUCUACAGACUUUCCACAGCCAUGGAUCAGCCAAGGCACUGUCCUCCAUCCUAGACCCUGGUUCAGUUGUUGCUAGGUUUGAUGGAUUUUUCACUGGGAUGCAGAGCUUCUGAUGUUGUCCAUUUUCCUUGUGUGCUUAUGCUGAUCUCAAUGCCUAAGUGAAGGCUUGGAGUUCCUUCUUUCUAAAUGAGGGUAAAUCUUGUAGGUAUUAAUAAUGUUGGUUUUGGGAACCAUGGCAGUGCUGCAAGCAUGGUGGUAACAGCAAAAAAUAUCUCUUGGCAACAGAAAAGAGACGGCCUUUGUAAUGCUUAGUUUCUUUUGAAGAAGUUGUUAGUUCUGGCUGUGAUAGGUUUAAAUUUGCAUGAUCAGCUCCCUCUUUGUCUUGUUUGAGUGAAUCAGAGCCUCACUUGAUCAUGUUGGUCAAUUAUUUGCAGUUGACUUUAUGUCAGUUUUGCUUUGUAAGUCCAUAUGAAACAGUGAAAGUGUUAGUAAUAUCUGUGUUACUCCUGACAAAAUUUUAAUAUGCUUUUAUAUGUGUUUUAAUAGUCUUUGUUUCUGCCAAGUGAAUGUGCAUGCUGUCCAGAUGCUAUGUAGGCAAGCUGAGCUUUUGUGUUUGCAUUCACCAUGCACAACCCUUUCUUAAGACCUUAGAGCAUCUGGGGUCUUGGUUGUCAUUUAGUAUGGGAGCACUUCUUCUGCUUGGAUGUUAGCCACAUAACUCAUAUGAUGUCAAAUAAUAGAAAAACACUCUCCCAGCAGCUUUGUGUGGCUCACCUGCUACAGAGCAUUUGCUUGUGUUUCUCUCCUAAGUUGCUCUUGGCUUCCAAGUGGCUGUGUGCACUUACCUUGUCAGUUGUGCAGAGAAUGUGAUCCAGAGCAUCUCAAACAGGCCUCCUGCUGAGGGAUCCAUGGAGGAGCAGCUGCUGGGCCUUUGGUCAUUCCACUUAGUGUUUUCUUUGUAAGAAAUAUGAUACUUUGGGCAAAGCACUAUCCUUGGUUUUGGUGUACAUCUCCUUGGUUUGAAGUCAGCCUGUGCUAAGCUCAGCAAGUGUAUACAGCUUCUCCUUUAAAAAGGAAUUUAGUCUGGGAUAUAUAUUCUUUUCUACUUUUGAUUUUUUAAUAGCUCAGCUUUUAAAUUUCUCUGUAUGAAGAUGACUUUACAACAAUGCCCAAUUCUCUUUCAGCCUUUUCUAGGAUGCCAGCUGCCAGAAUUUUUGGUAGGGAAUGCAGUGAAGCUUUGGUAAUCAAGAUGCAGCUUUGCAGGAAGCACUUGUACAUUUAAUAAUUAGUUCAGCAAAGGAAUUUUUGAGCCAGAGGACUUGGUUUAUACCUGUAGCAAACAGUUCCUCUUUUCUUGGGCUUACCUGUAAAUCACCUUUUUUGAUUAGACUGAAUAGUCCUACGAGCUAUUGAAAACCAACAUCUCUGCACAUCAAUAACUGUGACUCACUCCAACGCAGUCUUCAAAAAUAGGAGUUGAAGCUUUGUUUUUGCUUUUUCUUUAAAACUUCAAGAUCUGGUUCAACACUUACUCAAUCCUUGUUUCAUAACUUGUUCUUUUCUGUGGCAGCGAUUUUAUUUAAAUCUUGUCCUUUGCAUGUGUGGCACAAUAAAUGUCACGUGUACAGGGGCUGCACUGUGAGCCUGGGGUGUGGGUGCUGCAGCAGGAAUCUCUCUGUUGCCGUUCCUUGCUCACCUGCUCCUGUGCCCUUGAUCUCAGAAAUUACUUGCCUGUUGGCCCAGCUAUUGGUGGAUGCCAGGGCUGAGUUCACUGUGUGUCCAAAAAAGCAUGUAGGCUUGAGGCAGGCUUAUUAAGUCCAUGUGAAUGCACAACCCAUCUUGCUUGCCAUAGACAAGAAGAAGAGGUUGUACAACCAUUCCUGAAGAAAAAAAGCUGUGCCUUCUCCAGUAAAUAAUUUCUCUGUGAGAGCAGGUUGCAUUAUAAAGCAGCUUGCCUUGGAGACUGCUCUAAAUAAGUAUGUAUACUAAAAUAUAUAUUCCUAAACAGAAAUAGAUACAGAAAACUAAAUUUUUAGUAUUUUAACAAGUCAACAGACUGAGGCCAGACAGUUAGUUUAAAUUACUGAAAGUAGUUGCUCCUAUUGUUUAUAUAUAUGUAUCUACUACUAUGGAAACAGUGAGGUCUCUCAUUCUUCUUGUUUCUGGUUAUACGAAAAAAUAUUUUGUUUAAAUAGUUCCUUACUGGUUUAUGUGUUUGAUUUUUUUCUCUGCUUAAAAGUUCUCAAGUAUGUGAUGCUGAAAGUUAGAUUGUCUUUCCUACAGUCCUUUAUUAUAAGCAUUCCCACAGUCAUUUUGCCUUUUUUUUUUUUUUUGGUCUUCUGAAGGUCUCUUCUAGCACUUUUGUUCACAGCAUUUUGUAAGGCAACUCAGUGACAUUAAUUUGCAAAAACAUUGACACAAAAUCUGCUUUCAAAAAUACACAUAUGACCUUUUUUCAUGAGCAUGGCACUGGUGACAUGCUUCCUUUUCUCACUGCUGCUUCCCUAGAGAAUUUCCUGCUGGACCAGCUUACAUGCAAUAAUUUAUUAUUGCUUCAUAUUAUGAGCCACCAGUUUUGUUACUGUGGCACAGAGAUCUGUUCCAAACCUGGAAAUAAGAACAGUACCUAGGUACUAAAGAGCAAAGUCUGCUUGUUCGCCAGUUUUUGGCCUUUCCCUGCUUCCCUUUCAACUUCAGUAUUUAAUCCCCCUGACUAAGUAACAAUCCUUUUGUUCCUUUUGCCACACAACAACAUCUGGAAGCCAAAAUAUUUGACCUUUUGGAUGUUUUUUAUCACCUUUUUAUGUGUCUGUCAGUACUGUGAACCUUUAAAACCCAAUCCAGAGCCUCCUGGGGUCAGCAGGACAGUUCCCAUUCUCCCUGGAACAUUUUGCAUGGCGUCCUGAGAACAGUCACCCUUUCUACUACACCUCAGACUUUCUACUGCCCUUUUUUGUUAUAGCUUGCUCUCUACUAUGGGCUGAAUUCUAAACACUAUCUAGUAUUUUCUUCACCACAAAUGCAUAAUCCAAUACUUUUUUUUACAGUGCUUUUCAUGCAACUUUCUAUUGAGUUGAAUGUUGUCAUGCACUCUGAAGAAAAUCAUAAUAGGAAUGAAACUUUAAUCAGAAGUCUUGGAUUUACUUUGUGUUAAAAGAGAAUCGUGAUGUUUUAAGAGAAAUUCAGCAUUAUAUAUUUUAGCCCUACAUUUAUAGGAUUAGUAUAUAUCCAUGAAAUUUUCAAACAGUGGUUUGAAGUGUAUGUGACUAGAUUCUGUGGUGCUGCUAAGUGCCACUCUAGCCUUGAGGAUAGUUAAAAGAAAAGAGAAAAGAAAAAUAUGCAUAAAAUAACAAUGGACAGAAUAUAUAUUAUUUCCUUCCAUGAGAAGGUAACCAGAGCAACAUUAUGAGGUGAUGAUGAAGCUGUGAGGGUCACAGUUAAAUGCUGUCAGCCAUGGAGGCAGAGCUAUAUGAGACCAAAUAAGUAUAACAUGUUGCACCAUUUGAGGAAUAGGUACAAAAUUCUUUGUGGUCUACUGAAGAUUUUUAUUUCCCAAAAUGGUGCCUUCAAAACUGGAAAGAAUAUUUCUAAUUUCUUUCUUUACAUAAUGGAAUAAACCAUACAAAACCCCACAGAAAUCCAUCUGUAUAUACACAUACAUUUCUCUUAAUGUUAAUAUUAAAUGCAUAGUAUUUCUUACACUGAAUGUAGUCAAUGCUUUCCCACCGGAGGUAGCAGCAGUGGCUCCACUUCCAGCUGUUAUCCUCGCAAGAUUAAUGAGGUCUACUAAAUUGCUUAAACCCAUACCAAACAGAAAAGUCUCUUGUCUUUUUUUUUUUUUUUAGAUUCUUUCCUGUCCUUACAUUUAGUUUAAAAUUUCUAUAAAAUUUUCAAAUAUGUUGUUCAGUCCUUUAUCACCUUAAACUCCUUAUCCAGAUGUUUUCUGUGAUGUGAUAAUGAAACUCGGGGAGCUGUGCUAUUCCUGACUACAGUUCUCCUAGUAACAGUACUAUUUUUAUUGAUAUUUUUACUAGUAAGCCCUUAUGCUUCUCAUCUGUAAUACACCAUUAGUAGGGCUAUAAAUGUAAUGACAAAGCCAGUAAACCACAAUUACAUAGCCCUCUUUCUUUUCAUAUAUUUUGACAGAGCUUGCUUCAGUCCUGUUUGUUAGUGAAAUGUUCAACUAGAAGGAACAUUAGUAGAUUUGCUGUCAAAAUCAAUUAAAAUUAGCUACUUCAGUAUGACUUAGCAGUUGCAUAGUCAAACAUCAAGAGCAGAUUGCUUUAAAGACAUAUUUAUAUGAAAUCCUGCAUUGCAAAAGAUGCCCAAGCUUAGGAGCAGGUCAGUCCAUCUUUUUUCACCUUCCUCUCUCCUAUUCUGUAUUAUCUCAGCCUGUCAGCACUCCUGCCAUGCUGUGACUGAGUAGGGAGGGCCUCUUACCAAAGUCAGUGAGCAGCUCUCAUACUAAGUUUUCAGCACUUAGUGGGCAGCCAGUGGGUGUGACAGAAGCCAGCUCAAAGGGGCUGGUGCGCAACAGGUAUAAAAGUUGGCUGUACAUUGAUGAUCCUCAGCAACCAGUUGAAGAUGUUUAGUUGUGAUUUUACUGGGUUACAUGGUAGAUUCCAUGACUAGAACAUUACAGUCAAAAGUUCUAGCUUGAAAGAUGUACCGUGAAUAGCAGGUUGUUUUCCAGAACUGGAAUAUCUGAUAAAAAGAAGAUCAUAUAGGUUGGAGGGACCUGUAGAGAUCAUUUCAUCCAGCCUCUUAUUUAAAGCUGGACUGUUCCCAGCACAUCCCAGCAGCCAUGUAUUUGUCUGUCAAGAGUCUAGAAACCCUUCAAGGACAAGACUUUGCACAGCCUCUGUAGGUGACCUCAGGGAGUGGUGGAGCUGCUAGCCAGCUUUUGUUCACAAGCAAAAUGGAGCAUAGUUAAUUCUGGUUUUGCCUGCAGAGACACCGAGAUUAAAUGUGGAAUUACUUGCAUGGCAGGAUUGUGCAUAAGUAGGCCUCCUCUCUUUUCCUGACACUGCUGUAGUUGUCCUUGUGCUUCAGCUCUGCUUUACUGUGUUUGACUUUUGGUAAGAGACUUGCCUCACAAGUACGUCAUAUUCUGAGAAAUCUUCUUAAAUACCAAGCCAAACAGGUCUUCAGAAUAGCUAAGAAAUUACUUUUAAAUUGAUCAGAACCAAAACCAGUAGCAUUUUUAGGACUCUACCUUUAGUGAAGUUAAUAAAUAUAUUUUUCUGAAGUCUGUGUGAUUAUGUAAGUGACAAAUUGUUAGUAGCAAAUUAUUAAACUUACAGAGUACAUACAAUCACAUACUGGAAUGGCCACUACACCUCAGUACAAAUGAAAGGUUUUAGUACAAUCAGGAGCUGAGGAGAAUAUUCCCACUAUUUACCCUAGGCUGUGCACCCUCAGUGGUUGCUGGAAAGGGGAGGGUGCCUCCAGAGGUGUGAGGUAGGUGUGAGGUGUUGAGAUCCUCCUGGUGUGAAGCUGAAUAUGCUCCUACCUCUGCUUUUCGAUGUGUACUACUAAUUUUAUACUCUGAUGCUUCAUCUGCUGCUUUUACUGUGUUUCCCAGUUGUUCCAGAAUGACAUUGUGACUCUGCCAUCAGCUGUUUUCUCUGCUGGGCACUGAGCCCUCACAUCCCUGGUUCAGCUGCCCAGGUCAGAGCAGUGGCUGUGUUAGUUGGAGAGAGCUGCAGCCCUGCAGGCAGUGAGUCAGAGUACUGGGAUGUCUUAGCCUGAAUGGGGACUCGCCCUCCAGAGAAGCCUCUUUCUCUCUGUUUAAUACAGAAAGAGACUUGCAGGUGGAAGAUAGGUGCUGUAUUUCCUUUGGUGUCUGUCAGCAACUUUCAUAAUUGAAUAAACACCCCUGUGCUAUAAGGCUGGCCAUGAAGAGAAGACCAAAACAGUUUCAAAAACUGAUGGUCAAAAAAGGUGAGGCAAACAAGCAAACCCUGAAAAAUUACCCUUUGUGAUACCCUCACUGCCAAUAGCCAUCUUGCAGUGCACCUUCCUGGCAGAACUGUGGCUACCCAGACUAACAGAUCCUGGGAUGAAUACAAACAUAACCAUCAGGUAAAAGCCACGAAAUUGUUUUUGUCUUGGUACACUGAACAUUCAAAAUUCUGUUAACAGACGUGUUUAAUUCCAGAAUGCACAUUUCUUGAUGGAAAUUCAGACUAUGUACAGCCUGAGUCUGGGGACUCUUACGAGGACACAAAUUUUGGACAGUGAAAUAGGAAUCAGGCAGGAACUGGACCAUUCAGUGUCACAGGAGUGCCUAACUCAAUCUGGCAGCUAGGAAUAAAAGUAAAAAGAAGUCAGUGCUUCCUCAGUGAGAACAUCAUUAAUUAUUUACAUGUGUUCUAUAAGGAGGUUGUAUAUUCAAAGCUUCUUGAAGCCUUUUGGGAAAGGCAGUAUUUUUUUAAAGAAGGUUCUAAGGCAUAUUCUAGUGAACCUUCUAAGAUAUCUGCACUGAAAAAAUCAUCACAUCCUAACAUAUAGCCUAAAAGUCUACAAGAACAAUAUUUUUGUCAAUUGUUCAGAGUAUUAUUAUCUUUAAUAUUGCUGUUUAUAGUUUGACUUUAUUGUUUAAAGGUUACUCAGGGCAUGCAAAUGUCAGAGUGCUCUGAGCAACUUUCCUGAUGGUUUGUUUGAGGAGACACUAUCCCGUGCUUGGCUUUGAAAUUUGGCAGGCAUGUCUGAUCUGGGAGAGGGCUUGGACGUACAAUUUCAAGUGAUGAAAUCCAGCUGAUGUUCAAAGGAAAAGUCUACUCCCAGAAUGCUCCUAGGAGGCCUCUGUGGAAAAAAAAAAAGACACUGUGAAAGAAAGCAAUGGAAGUCGUGUGUUAUGAAUUCGUGUGGUUUUACCUCUUGUGCAAGUAAAUUCAGGCAAGAGCAGAAAUGCAGGCUUUCAUAGCAGUAUUUACCAGUUUUCUCUUUUUUGUCUUCCUGAUGCUGAUGUGCCUGAGAAGGUAAAUCAGGUCUGCCUCUGAUCCUGAGGAGUCUAAGGUCUGAAGUCCUUACUGGGGCAAAAUUCCAGUUGAGUUACAGGGGUGAAUCCUUAACUGACCUUGCUGGACACUAUAUGCACAUCAUAUCAUAGAGUGAAUCCCAUUGUGGGCUCAUCUUCUCCUUACCCACUUUUUUAAGAGAGAUUCUUUAUCCUACCAUUUCUGGGCAGGUGGAGGUCUUCACUUUCUUCCAGCAGAGCUUCCAGCAGGGUUUAGGAGGAGCCCGCAGGUCUGGGGGAAAUCCUGGACGCACCGUGCUGCAGUCACGUUGUGGGUGAGGAGCAGUCACUGCUGCAGUGAGCAGGGAGGGUGGCCAGGCUGUCUGGAGAUGGAGGGGGAAUCAGCUCCACAUCAGGCUCCACAGGGAGGGCUGCUGCUCUCCUGUGGGGGUUCACCUGCAGUAUUAAAUACAAAUACAGUGCCUGUUAACGUUUCAAUUGCAGGAAAGAUGAAGGUAGGCAGGCAACUGGCUGGCACUAAGCAGCUAGAGAGCAUCUCACUCCUCACCAGGAUUUUUCCUUGUGCCAGGAGGGUGAGCUGUGCAUUGGGUGGAUCCCCCCAAUGUACAGCAGAGCUUUGACAGUGAGCAUCAGGGUUUCAUAGGCAGCUCUUCCAUUCUGUAGUAGCAAACAUCUUGAUUACUCAAAAGGCUGGCACAGAAAAAUCUUUCUGUACAGCUUGCCCUAGUUCUGGAAAAUUUAUAAUUUUGUUCAUGUUUCUGGUAAUAGUAGUAGAAAGAUGAUAAGUUUUACAUUGCAUAAAAAAUAAACUAUCAGAGGAGAGGGAAUACAAUAAAAUCAUUUAUUUUCUGUAGCUGGAGUGGAAGUGCUCACUUGGUUAUUGGUGUAUCUAAAGGUUACAAGGUGUAUGAGUAGAGUUAUUCUUCUUUGUGCCAGGCUAAUUUGUUCUUUUAAAAAAUGCCCUGUUGCACUGAAAGCUGAAGUUCUUAACAGUAAAACAAGGAUAUGUAGAUAUGACAUAAUCUGAUGGUACAGUGUCACCAGUGUGAUAUCACAGGCAGUGUUGGAGGUGGUAAGUAAAACAUUUUGGUGCUAUUUUAGUAUGUAUUCUUCAGCUACCUUUUUCCCCAUUGUAUUUAGUUUUGUACAUUUGGGGGCUUUAGUGCCCCAAUUUUUAGCACUGUAGUUGAUUUCUUUCAUUGUGCAAAGUUUUACCAACUCCUGUAGUUCUUCCACGCUGCUUCUCUAUAGCUUUUGGAGUUAUUUAUACAUAAAUUCUCCCAUAUAAAACAGGUCUGUCAGGUCUGCAGAACCUCCUGUGCAGGUAUUGCAGUAACUGUAUUGGUGAAAAAUGAGAUAAAUAGUUUCUUGUGAGUUUGGGUGGAAGGCUUUGAGAGGGGACUUAACUUUGGGUUUUGGUUUUUAUGUUUUGAGGGGGUUUUUGUUUGUGUGGGGAUUCUUUGUUGUUUUUGUUCUAACAGAAAGUUUGGAAACUAAUACCACAUACAGAAACAUCUAAGUGGAAAAGUCAUAAUUAAAAACAAACUGCACAAGCUGUCACUUAUUUCUGAAUAUAUUUGAUUAUAAAUGUUUGUGUGCUUCCAAAGAGAGGAUGCUUCGGACACAGCUGAAGCAGCUACUUAAAUGCAAUUCAGGAGCUCACUCAGUGGUGCUGAUCCACUGUACUGCAGGUAAUAUUCACUCAGCCUGCAGAUGAAACUCCAAAUGUUGGAGAAAGAAAAACAGAUGCUGAUCUGGGAGGAAAUUGCCACCUUCUCUCUUCUUUGUGUUGAGUUAUAUUGUGAUGUUGGUGGGAAGGGAAAGGAUAAAAAAGUAAACUACAGUCAUGUGGGAAACAAUCUGUCAUUAGUCAGGAUGUAUGCAGGGGCAGGCUGAAAAGCUUACUAGCAGUUUUCUCUUUUGUUAUUUUGCUAGGAACUAAUUCUAAGUUACAGAAGGCAGCAGCAAGACGGCAAAUAGAGAUGCUUUUUGGCUUAAUUGGGAUUAUUUGAAAGAAUUAAAUAUGAUUAAGAUGGAUUAGGUGCUUUGCACUGUUACUGCCGUUCGUGCCCUGGGGGGUGUUUCUGGCAGUAGGCUGGGCUGCCCCUUGGCUUGGCUCAUUCCUGGCACUUGGCAGAGGCCUGGGAUGCAGCACUUCAGGCUGCUGGCUGCUCCUGCAGCCUAAUGCAUGCAGCUUGCUCUGCACAGUCAGCAGCUGGGGGUA